UUACGGCCAUAUCACUUCGAAACAUCGGUUCUCAUACGAUCACCAAAGUUAAGCAAAGUCGAGCCCGGUUAAUAUAUUGAUGGGUGACCGCAACGUCGAGCCAGGUUAAUAUAUGGAUGGGUGGCCGCUUGGAAAUAUCAAGUGUUGAA